rfam:Acetobacterium bakii strain DSM 8239 contig_40, whole genome shotgun sequence.
GUAACAAAGUAGAGGCAACACACUUCUCACCUCAUUUCUUAUGGAGAUAGGUAAAUAUUUGAUGAACAAUGUUCGUUAGUAUUUUUUUGCAGGUGGAGUGUUUCUACCUGCAAUUUUUUUAUAUG